rnacentral:miRNA from 1 species
CUAGGAUGAUGAUGAUGAUGAUGAUGAUGAUUAUCAUCAUCAUCAUUAUUAUUAUCA